rnacentral:lncRNA from 1 species
CACAAAUUAAAUCUGACGUUAAGUGUUUUCUCCCGUGACUCAACUAAUCUCAAAGAAUCCAAUUUCCCAACUUCUCCCGUGCUCCCAACUCACGUUCUCUAUGCUCCUCCGGUCCCUCAGCCGGCGCCGCUGUGCUGCUCCCUAAGCCGGCGUCGUCCUCUUCUCCGCUCCUCCAUGAUCCGCCUCGUUCUCCACCUCUAUUUAGAGCUCCGCCUCCCUACUAUCUUUCUCAAGGUACAUAUUUGUUCAUCUUUUGAAUAUAAACCUAACACACCUUUUAUAGUGAUCUAAUUUUGCUAGAAGCAUGAAACAUAUGAAUUUACUUUGUACUCUCUCUCUGAGUUUUUAUUGACUAUUUUUCCCCAAAUUUGAUGUGGGUUUCUCCAUUUUUAUUGUUAAUUUGUUAAUUUGUUGGGUUUUUUCCCUAGUAAAUAUCCGUUUCGGAUUAUAUAGAAUCUUGGGUUUAAUAGUUCAAAUUCAGUAAUCAGCGUAACAUGUCUUUGAGUUCUUCCAUGGCACCCUUGUGCUUUAGGAUCUGUAUUGGCUAUCUGCUAGCUGAAUUAUGAUGUUUUUCUUUAAUACUAGUAUUCAUUUGGGCAAACAGGCAUUCAAGGAUUUAUUACGACUUUCUAAUUAAUUGAAAUCAAGAUUCUUGGGUAUUUAACAUUGAGAAUUUUAAUAGCUUUUCAAUAAAGAAAUUUCAAUAUUCAUUUGGGUAAACACGCAUUCAUUUGGAUAAAUAAUUUUCAAAGCUUUCAUACCCGUAAAUUUAAACACUUUUUUUUUUUUUUUUUGUGAAGUUUUAAAAUAGUUCUUGGUGAGAUGCUCCACUUUAAGGUGUAGUAAUCAGUAAUCACCCCAUAACCAAGAUUUAUAAUACAAGUUCAAAUAGUUGAAGAUAAAACAUAUCUACAUUAAGUCGCGCAUUUUUUAUCCAAUGUUUCUUUAUUAUUAUUAUUUUUUUUGAUUUUUGGUUUGUGUUAUAGAUUGAAAUGUUUUUAGCCAUUAAUGCUAUUCUUGUUAGUUUUAGAUGUAAUUCCAUGAAUCUAUCUUGUUGUCUAGGCAUUUUAUUCAUUUAUAAUUAGGUGAGGCAUUUUAUCCAACACUUGAUAUGCAUGCUAUAUUAUAAUCUAUUGAUUGAAAAACACGAGCCACACAAACACAUACAAAAAAACAGUUCAAUCAAGGGAAGGUGGAGGAUAUAGAAACCGUAUGGACGAUUUUACCCCUGUUCUAAAAAUGGUUGGUCUUGAGUGAUUUUCAUAUUAUCAUUUGGCUGAAGUUCUGGUUUAAUCUAAAGUUGUUGGAAGGAAAAUUACCAGGUGCAAUUUUGGACGAUUUUACCCCUGAAUUACUUUGAAAGCUUAGUGGUGGCAGAUCGUUUUCUUGGUGGUGUCAGCCACCAUCAAUGCAUUGCUUUGAUAGUACAAUGCAUUUUGGUGUUGAUAUGUUCCAGAAGUUCAGCGCUCCAAUUGCACCUAAAGUACGCUUGAGUCUAUUAUAAUUGUUUUCUUUCAUUGAUAAUUGGUGCUGUUGUGCGUAUUCAAAAAACAAUGCAUUUGAUUGUAUACUAGAAAAAAGAUAAAAUUACAUAAAUGGUCCCUAUGGUUUACCUAAUGUCAUAAAUUCAGUCAUUGUUAAUUUUUUUGAUGAAUAUGGUCCCUAUGGUUUUCAAAACAUGCAUGAAUGUUCCUUUUUGCUUAAACAGUUAGUUUUCGUCUGUUAGUGUGAGGUUAAUUUGGUCUUUUCAGAUAGUAUGGACUGAGUUUGGGACCAUGGUUAAACCAUAUGGACCAUUUAUGUAAUUUUGUUAUAUAUGUUCACUAUUUGGAUAAAAUCGAAUUGUCUAAUUAGAUAAUUUGCUUUGGAUUGUUGUAUUGACUUUUAGCAAAUCAAAUUAUUAUUUUGGAUUGGUUUGGUUUAUAAAUAGUCCAAAAAAAUUGAAUAACAAUUAUUUGUAUUAUUUAUUUUUAAUAUAUAUCUCUAAUCAUUUAUAAAUUUACUAAAUUAUUUUUCUAAUAUAUUAGAAAGUUCAACCAAUAUAAUACAUUAAACUACAUUAUUUUUAUUGUUUCUCUUAAUAAUUAUUUAUAAAUUUUAAUAAACAACUAAAC